ACACUCCUACGGGAGGCAGCAGUGGGGAAUUUUGGACAAUGGGCGAAAGCCUGAUCCAGCAAUGCCGCGUGCAGGAUGAAGGCCUUCGGGUUGUAAACUGCUUUUGUACGGAACGAAAAAGCUCCUUCUAAUACAGGGGGCCCAUGACGGUACCGUAAGAAUAAGCACCGGCUAACUACGUGCCAGCAGCCGCGGUAAUACGUAGGGUGCGAGCGUUAAUCGGAAUUACUGGGCGUAAAGCGUGCGCAGGCGGUUAUGUAAGACAGAUGUGAAAUCCCCGGGCUCAACCUGGGAACUGCAUUUGUGACUGCAUGGCUAGAGUACGGUAGAGGGGGAUGGAAUUCCGCGUGUAGCAGUGAAAUGCGUAGAUAUGCGGAGGAACACCGAUGGCGAAGGCAAUCCCCUGGACCUGUACUGACGCUCAUGCACGAAAGCGUGGGGAGCAAACAGGAUUAGAAACCCCGGUAGUCCCAU
rnacentral:rRNA from 1 species